rnacentral:rRNA from 1 species
AUUGAACGCUGGCGGCAGGCCUAACACAUGCAAGUCGAGCGAGCGGCGGACGGGUGAGUAAUGUCUGGGAAACUGCCUGAUGGAGUGGGAUAACUACUGGAAAAGGUAGCUAAUACCGCAUACUAUCAGAUGUGCCCAGAUGGGAUUAGCUAGUAGGUGGGGUAAUGGCCUACCAAGCCGACGAUCUAUAGCUGGUCUGAGAGGAUGACCAGCAAAACCGGGACUGAGACAAGGCCCGAACUCCUACGGGAGGCAGCAGUGGGGAAUAUUGCGCAAUGGGCGAAACCCUGACGCAGCCAUGCCGCGUGAAUGAAGAAGGCCUUCGGGUUGUAAAGUUCUUUUGGUGACGAGGCGUUAAUCAAAGAGAAAGCACCGGCUAACUACGUGCCAGCAGCCGCGGUAAUAC